CCUACGGGUGGCAGCAGUGAGGAAUAUUGGUCAAUGGGCGCGAGCCUGAACCAGCCAAGCAGCGUGAAGGAUGACUGCCCUACGGGUUGUAAACUUCUUUUACAAAGGAAUAAAUUGAGGCACGUGAGCCUUUUUGUAUGUACUUUAUGAUUAAGGAUCGGCUAACUCCGGGCCAGCAGCCGCGGUAAUACGGAGGAGCCGAGCGUUAUCCGGAUUUAUUGGGUUUAAAGGGAGCGUAGAUGGGUUGUUAAGACAGCUGUGAAAGUUUGCGGCUCAACCGUAAAAUUGCAAUUGAUACUGGCAGUCUUGAGUACAGUUGAGGUAGGCGGAAUUCGUGGUGUAGCGGUGAAAUGCUUAGAUAUCACGAAGAACUCCGAUUGCGAAGGCAGCUUACUAAACUGCCACUGACAUUGAUGCUCGAAAGUGUGGGUAGCAAACAGGAUUAGAUACCCCUGUAGUC
rnacentral:rRNA from 1 species